AUGUUUCAAGGGCAUGAGAAGUCUUUAAUCAUCUUUGUCUUUGUACCAGCUGGUGGCACAGUCCUCUGCCCAUCACAGGCCUCCGUUAAAUGUUGGCUGAACGGAAUUAUUAAGAAGAAAGGACUGAACUAUGGCAAAACAACAGUUUCAAAUGAAAUCCACAAAACGACACAUGCCCCCAGUUCUCCUAAGUUCCUCCUGAGAGCUGCUGGCACAAGGAGCACUUUUUUCCCAAUUUUAGACUUCAUCUGGGUGACAAAUGUAGCCAAGAAGUCCUCAGCAAGGUGCCAGGGACAAAGGAGGAUCUCAAACAUUCUUGGGGGGCACACUUCCCGGUUGCCUGCCAGGCUUCCAGGGGCUCUCCCGGCCUCUCAUCCUGCCGCCACUUCCUUCUUCCCCUGGGGACAGUCACUCUCCACUCUCCCUUCCCAAGUGUACUUGUCAAAACCCCACAGAACCUCACAGAAAGGUAAGAUGGGGGAAAGGGUGUGAUAAGGUCCUGGGAUUCUUUCAAUUUAAACCCUUCACUGUAUUUUUCUUUGGGUUGUUUUUUGUUUUUGUUCUUUUCCUACUGAAGAAAACUACAUCAUCACUGUGAAGAGGUGCUGAUUUUUACUAGGAUUUUACUUCAAAUUACUGCGGUAUGAUGUCUAAGCUGAAAAGAACCUCAGAAAAAAUUUCAUCAUAUCCCCAUAUUUCACAGAUGGAGAAAGGUCCAGAGAAGUUAAGAACUGCCUAACUACAGUUACACAAAGAACUCCCCAGAAUCUCAGAUCCUGAAUGGGCAAGAGUUGUUACCUAAUCCACCUCCAGAAUCCAACACAGAGUACAGCCUUAAUAAAUGGCUGGUAACCGGAACUAAAUGAACACAACUAAUAGUGGGAAAUUGAGGACUAUAACCCACAAUGUCUUACUUCAAGAACAGGGUUUUGGGAUGGCUGGGUGGCUCAGUUGGAGUUAAGUGUCUGCCUUCGGCUCAGGUCAUGUCAUGAUCCCGGGGUCCUGGGAUCCAGUCCCACAGCGGGCUCCUUCCUUGGUGGGGAGCCUGGUUCUUCGUCUGCUGGGCACUCCCCCUGCUUGUACCCACCCACUCUCACACUCUCUGACAAAUAAAUAAAAUCUUAAAACAACAACAAAACAGUGUUUUUUCAUCACAUGUGACUAGAAAGCUGGAGUCUCUGGAUGAUAAUUCAUGGGGGGUAGGGAGACAGCCGACCCCAUGGAAUUCAGACUCUCCCUCCUCAACAACUAGGUAUACUUCCUUUAUCUCUGACACCACCUUAUAAUUCCAACCUCUAUAUGUUCUAAUUGCUCUAAAAAUCAUGUAUUUCUUGAUUUCCUAAAAUACCCCUUCUCUCACACUCAGAAAAUCUUUUAUCUUCAAUUACUUUUUUCCCCCCAAGUUUUUUUUAAAUUCCACUUAGUUACUAUAUAGUAUAAUAUUAGUUUCCAUGUAUAAUUCAGUGAUUCGGCACUGCCAUAUGACACUUGGUGCUCAUCAAGACAAGGGCUCCCCUGAAUCCCGAUCACCCAUUUCACCCAUCUGCCCCACUCCCCGCUGGUAACCAUCAGUUUGUUCUCUACAGCUAUGAGGCUGUUUCUUGGUUUGCCUCUCCCCCUACACAACGUUCAUCUGUUUUGCUUCUUAAAUUCCACGUAUGAAUGAAAUUGUAGGGUAUUCAUCCUUCUCUGAUCUUCAAUUACUUUCUUAGUGACUAUCCUCUUUGGGUUCCCUCCUUAUACUUUAACUUGCCACAAACUACAACUAUCUUCCCUUGUGCUUCCCUAAGUCAAUAUUUCUCAACCUUGGCUGCGUAUUGGAAUCAUCUGGGGAAGUUUAAAAGAAUAUAAAUUCCUGGGUCCUACCCUCAGAGUUCCUGAUUUAACUGGCCUAGGUGAGGGAUGGCCAAGGAAUGAAAUUUUUUUAGAAACUCCCUAGGGGAUUCUAAUGCAGAGCUUACUAACGUAGAGAGCCUCUGCCUACACCCUCAGAAAUUCACUGCUUAGUCCAUUAUAUACCCUAAAGAUAAUGUGUUGUUCUGGAUAUGCAAAAUCUUAAGACUGAAGACAUAUUAAAACAACACCCUUAAUUUACAUCUGUCAUAUUUAGUAAAGAGGCCAGUGAUGUUCUAUAAAUCACUAAUUAUAACAAAUGGCCAGAAAAGCUACACUGGAGCUUUCUGACUCAGAAACACAUUUAGUUUAUGAUUUUUUUUUCAACCAAGGAUCCAGGGUCUUUCAAAUCCAGAUGGUCUUUCUGUUAUCAAAAACAGCUUUUUACGGCCAACCCCAAAGAAGCAUAAGAACACAUCGUGUAUUUUCAUGACUCUGCUCAUACCAAUAUUUCUGUGUGGAACACGCUUCCACUGUCUGCACAGAAAACUCCUAUUCAUCCCUCAAAGCCCAGUUCUAUGUAUUGCCUCCUUCAGUCAUUCAUCAAGAAUAGAAUCUACUCAGUGUCAG
ensembl:lincRNA